GCAAGUCGAGGGGUAACAGGGUGCUUGCACAGAUGACGACCGGCGCACGGGUGCGUAACGCGUAUACAAUCUGCCUUUUGUUAAGGGAUAGCCCAGAGAAAUUUGGAUUAAUACCUUAUAGUACGUUUAGUUCGCAUGGGCCUAACAUUAAAGAUUACGACAAAAGAUGAGUAUGCGUCCUAUUAGCUAGAUGGAGUGGUAACGGCACCCCAUGGCGACGAUAGGUAGGGGCCCUGAGAGGGGGAUC
rnacentral:rRNA from 1 species